rnacentral:misc_RNA from 1 species
AUGAAAUUCAAGUCGGCAAAUUGUGCUGGCGCUCUGCGCAUGUGCACGUUUGUCGCAAAUCCACACACCUGUGCACUUUAGACUCCGAGCGAGCAGCUUUAGGGCUGCACCUCGGAGUAUUUACACACACUGUAUGUAAAAGGAUGAUGUUAGUGCUUUGCACAAAAAACAUA